UACGUAGGGUGCAAGCGUUGUCCGGAAUCAUUGGGCGUAAAGAGCGUGUAGGCGGCCUGAUAAGUCGGUUGUGAAAGUCAAGGGCUCAACCCUUGAAUGCCGGCCGAGUACUGUCAGGCUAGAGUCCGGAAGAGGCGAGUGGAAUUCCUGGUGUAGCGGUGAAAUGCGCAGAUAUCAGGAGGAACACCGAUGGCGAAGGCAGCUCGCUGGGACGGUACUGACGCUGGAGGCGCGAAAGCGUGGGGAGCGAACAGG
rnacentral:rRNA from 1 species